AUUGCAUUGGAGAAGCCUGGUUGCUCAGCUGUUGCCUUUGGAUUAUGGCCCCAAUGUUAAAAGGCUUGAUUUUCCCCUGCAAAGACAUGAAAGCCGGGUCAUUUGAUGCUUGCCCUGUUUGAGCGGCGAUACCCCAGAUAGCUAUGCCAUUGAGCCCAUUCGUAUAAUGAAAGACUUUGGCUCCAUGGCAAUUGAACUGUAUGUGUGUGCUCUGAGCGCCAUUCAGAUUACUUCCCAAUUAUCUCCAGGAUAGA